GAUGAACGCUGGCGGCGCGCCUAACACAUGCAAGUCGAACGAUUAAAGCACCUUUUAGGUGUGUAUAAAGUGGCGAACGGCUGAGUAACACGUGGGCAACCUGCCCUCCUCUUGGGGAUAGCCUCGGGAAACCGAGGAUAAUACCCGAUACUUCACUUGAGCCGCAUGACUCAAGUGAGAAAGCUUUUGCGGAGAAGGAUGGGCCCGCGGCCUGUUAGCUUGUUGGUGGGGUAGAGGCCUACCAAGGCAAUGAUGGGUAGCUGGGUUGAGAGACCGACCAGCCAGAUUGGGACUGAGACACGGCCCAGACUCCUACGGGAGGCAGCAGUGGGGAAUCUUGCACAAUGGGCGAAAGCCUGAUGCAGCGACGCCGCGUGCGGGACGAAGGCCUUCGGGUUGUAAACCGCUUUCAGCAGGGACGAGGCGUAAGUGACGGUACCUGCGGAAGAAGCCCCGGCUAACUACGUGCCAGCAGCCGCGGUAAUACGUAGGGGGCAAGCGUUAUCCGGAUUCAUUGGGCGUAAAGCGCUCGUAGGCGGUCUGUUAGGUCGGGAGUUAAAUCCGGAGGCUCAACCUCCGUCCGCUCCCGAUACCGGCAGACUUGAGUUUGGUAGGGGAAGGUGGAAUUCCUAGUGUAGCGGUGGAAUGCGCAGAUAUUAGGAAGAACACCAGUGGCGAAGGCGGCCUUCUGGGCCAUAACUGACGCUGAGGAGCGAAAGCUAGGGGAGCAAACAGG
rnacentral:rRNA from 1 species